rnacentral:rRNA from 1 species
GUGCCAGCCGCCGCGGUAAUACGUAGGUGGCAAGCGUUGUCCGGAAUUAUUGGGCGUAAAGCGCGCGCAGGUGGUUUCUUAAGUCUGAUGUGAAAGCCCACGGCUCAACCGUGGAGGGUCAUUGGAAACUGGGGAACUUGAGUGCAGGAGAGAAGAGUGGAAUUCCACGUGUAGCGGUGAAAUGCGUAGAGAUGUGGAGGAACACCAGUGGCGAAGGCGACUCUUUGGCCUGUAACUGACACUGAGGCGCGAAAGCGUGGGGAGCAAACAGGAUUAGAAACCCUCGUAGUCC